rnacentral:rRNA from 1 species
CGGGUGAGUAACACGUGGGUAACCUGCCCAUAAGACUGGGAUAACUCCGGGAAACCGGGGCUAAUACCGGAUAACAUUUUGAACCGCAUGGUUCGAAAUUGAAAGGCGGCUUCGGCUGUCACUUAUGGAUGGACCCGCGUCGCAUUAGCUAGUUGGUGAGGUAACGGCUCACCAAGGCAACGAUGCGUAGCCGACCUGAGAGGGUGAUCGGCCACACUGGGACUGAGACACGGCCCAGACUCCUACGGGAGGCAGCAGUAGGGAAUCUUCCGCAAUGGACGAAAGUCUGACGGAGCAACGCCGCGUGAGUGAUGAAGGCUUUCGGGUCGUAAAACUCUGUUGUUAGGGAAGAACAAGUGCUAGUUGAAUAAGCUGGCACCUUGACGGUACCUAACCAGAAAGCCACGGCUAACUACGUGCCAGCAGCCGCGGUAAUACGUAGGUGGCAAGCGUUAUCCGGAAUUAUUGGGCGUAAAGCGCGCGCAGGUGGUUUCUUAAGUCUGAUGUGAAAGCCCACGGCUCAACCGUGGAGGGUCAUUGGAAACUGGGAGACUUGAGUGCAGAAGAGGAAAGUGGAAUUCCAUGUGUAGCGGUGAAAUGCGUAGAGAUAUGGAGGAACACCAGUGGCGAAGGCGACUUUCUGGUCUGUAACUGACACUGAG